rnacentral:misc_RNA from 1 species
UUAUUACUUUCAUGCUCAAUUAAGAGACUUUUGACAUUCUUUAAACUGACAGGGUAAAAUGUGUAAAAUGUAGUUAAUGCACAGGGUAAGGAAAAUGAAAGGGUCGGACCUCUAAAAAGAGCAUCCUAGAAUUCAUUAAUGAUCCUUCCGCAGGUUCACCUACGGAAA